AUUUAGACAAUAUUUUUGUCUCCUGGUGAUAUCCCUUUUCAGCAACACUGACAUUUUGGGUUGAUGUCCGUUGCGAAGAACAGCAAUCAAUAUAUUUAGCAGCUUUUUCUGUGCCACAAGGUUUUUUUCUGACUUGUAUUCUUUGCAAAGGAGGAACUCCAGCCAUUUCUGAAUGCUGAGGUUUUCAACUAUAGUUUCUUGUUCUUUCAGAUAUCUACAGAGGAUUCCAACACUUCAGAGACUUAUUCCAGCAAUAAACAUCUAUUAGCAAUGAUGGCAACAGCUGUUGUCUUUUCCAUGGAAAUAAAUAGGAGACAUUACUUUCGGAGCAGCAUAUGGAUAUGCAACCCAAGAUGUUUUGUAUUCACUAAAUGCUGCCCAAGCAAGCCAAAAGGUUGCUUGGUAGUCCAGGACACCCCUGGACUAGUGAGAGUUUCCUACAAGACAAAAAAUCCAAAUGCUGUCUAGAAAACCUGAAUUUUGAGCAGUUCCGAAGCAUAUUUCUCCUUAGAGGGAUUCAAGAGGAACAGAUGGCUGAGAGAAACCUGUAGCUACAAGUUCACUUUAAUUGUCACAGUAGGACCAAGUGGCUGGUGGUGUGGCCAUGUGGUCUCGCUUUGCCU
ensembl:lncRNA